rnacentral:SRP_RNA from 1 species
GCGCGCGUCGCCGCGCCAAGGGUCGCACGAUGGCGGCACCGCAGGGUGGGGCACGUGCGGGUCAUGGGGGACCAGGCUGGCAGACAGAGCAGCGAGA